GACGAACGCUGGCGGCGUGCUUAACACAUGCAAGUCGAACGGAAAGGCCCUGCUCUUGUGGGGUGCUCGAGUGGCGAACGGGUGAGUAACACGUGAGUAACCUGCCCUUGACUUUGGGAUAACUUCAGGAAACUGGGUCUAAUACCGGAUAGGAGCUCCUGCGGCAUGGUGGGGGUUGGAAAGUUUCGGCGGUUGGGGAUGGACUCGCGGCUUAUCAGCUUGUUGGUGGGGUAGUGGCUGACCAAGGCUUUGACGGGUAGCCGGCCUGAGAGGGUGACCGGCCUCCUUGGUACUGCGGUACGGCCCAGUAUCCUACGGGAGGCAGCGGUGGGGAAUAUUGCACAGUGGGCGGAAGCCUGAUGCAGCAACGCCGCGUGCGGGAUAACGGCCUUCGGGUUGUAAACCGCUUUCGCCUGUGACGAAGCGUGAGUGACGGUAAUGAGUAAGGAAGCACCGGCUAACUACGUG
rnacentral:rRNA from 1 species